rnacentral:lncRNA from 1 species
UGUUUCGGCGUCCUUCCACACUGUCGCGGCUUAUGUUGUUUUGCUGUUUGGGUUUGCACUGUCUUUUUGAGCUGUAACACAGCAAAGGUUUGCAGUUUCGCUCCUGAAAUCAUCGAGACCACAAACCCACCGGGAAGAACGAACAACUCCAGACGCACCGCUUUAAGAGCUGUAAUACUCGUUAGGAAGGUGUGCAGCUUGACUCCUGAGUCAGCGAGACCAUGAACCCAUCAGAAGGAAAAAACUCCGAACAUCAGAAGGAACAAGUUUCAGACACGCCACCUUUAAGAACUGUGAUACUCACCGCGAGGGCCCGCGGCUUCAUUCUUGAAGUCCGUGAGACCAAGAACCUACCAAUUCCGAAUACGUUGGGUUCAAGUGGUUCUCCUGCCUCAGACUCCCGAAUACCUGGGACUACAGGCACCCACCACGCCCGGGAAAUUGGCAACUGAUGAAGGGAAGUGUAUCAGUCCGUUUUCAUGCU